rnacentral:rRNA from 1 species
UACAGAGACCUCAAGCGUUAUCCGGAAUCAUUGGGCGUAAAGCGUACCGAUAGGUGGUUGAAAUAGUCUUGGGUAAAAGCCAGAAGCUCAACUUCUGAGUUUGCUUAAGAUACUUUUCGACUAGAGGGGCAAAGAGGUGCUUGGAACGAAUGGUGUAGUAGUGAAAUGCGUUGAUAUCAUUCGGAACACCGAAAGCGAAGGCAGAGCACUGGGUGCCUCCUGACACUGCUAGGACGAAAGCGUGGGUAGCGAAUGGG